rnacentral:misc_RNA from 1 species
GAUGAAGAACGUAGCGAAAUGCGAUAAGUAAUGUGAAUUGCAGAAUUCAGUGAAUCAUCGAAUCUUUGAACGCACAUUGCGCCCGCCAGUAUUCUGGCGGGCAUGCCUGUUCGAGCGUCAUUACAACCCUCAGGCCCCCGGGCCUGGCGUUGGGGAUCGGCGGAGCCCCCCGUGGGCACACGCCGUCCCCCAAAUACAGUGGCGGUCCCGCCGCAGCUUCCAUCGCGUAGUAGCUAACACCUCGCGACUGGAGAGCGGCGCGGCCACGCCGUAAAACACCCAACUCUUCUGAAGUUGACCUCGAAUCAGGUAGGAAUACCCGCUGAACUUAAGCAUAUAAUAAGCGGAGGA